AGAGUUUGAUCAUGGCUCAGGAUGAACGCUAGCGACAGGCCUAACACAUGCAAGUCGAGGGGCAUCGGGGCGAGGAGCAAUCCUUGCCGCCGGCGACCGGCGCACGGGUGAGUAACGCGUAUGCGACCUGCCCGUUGCAGGGGGAUAAUCGGGAGAAAUCCCGUCUAAUACCGCGUAAUGCCGCGGGGCUGCAUGGCCCUGCGGCCAAAGGAAGCGAUUCCGGCAACGGAUGGGCAUGCGUGACAUUAGCUAGUUGGCGGGGCAACGGCCCACCAAGGCGACGAUGUCUAGGGGUUCUGAGAGGAAGGUCCCCCACACUGGUACUGAGACACGGACCAGACUCCUACGGGAGGCAGCAGUGAGGAAUAUUGGUCAAUGGGCGCGAGCCUGAACCAGCCAAGUCGCGUGAGGGAUGACGGCCCUACGGGUUGUAAACCUCUUUUGUCGGGGAGCAAAUUCCGCCACGUGUGGCGGAGUCGAGAGUACCCGAAGAAAAAGCAUCGGCUAACUCCGUGCCAGCAGCCGCGGUAAUACGGAGGAUGCGAGCGUUAUCCGGAUUUAUUGGGUUUAAAGGGUGCGUAGGCGGACUGUCAAGUCAGCGGUAAAAUACGGGGGCUCAACCUCCGCCCGCCGUUGAAACUGACGGUCUUGAGUGGGCGAGAAGUAUGCGGAAUGCGUGGUGUAGCGGUGAAAUGCAUAGAUAUCACGCAGAACUCCGAUUGCGAAGGCAGCAUACCGGCGCCCAACUGACGCUGAAGCACGAAAGCGUGGGUAUCGAACAGGAUUAGAUACCCUGGUAGUCCACGCAGUAAACGAUGAAUACUAGCUGUCCGGGGCGAAUGAGCCCUGGGUGGCACAGCGAAAGCGUUAAGUAUUCCACCUGGGGAGUACGCCGGCAACGGUGAAACUCAAAGGAAUUGACGGGGGCCCGCACAAGCGGAGGAACAUGUGGUUUAAUUCGAUGAUACGCGAGGAACCUUACCCGGGCUCAAACGACACAGGAACGUACCUGAAAGGGUUCGGCUCUACGGAGCCUGUGUCGAGGUGCUGCAUGGUUGUCGUCAGCUCGUGCCGUGAGGUGUCGGCUUAAGUGCCAUAACGAGCGCAACCCCCAUCGACAGUUGCUAACAGGUCAGGCUGAGGACUCUGUCGAGACUGCCGGCGCAAGCUGCGAGGAAGGCGGGGAUGACGUCAAAUCAGCACGGCCCUUACGUCCGGGGCGACACACGUGUUACAAUGGCAGGUACAGCGGGAAGCCACCUGGCGACAGGGAGCGGAACCCGAAAGCCUGUCUCAGUUCGGAUUGGAGUCUGCAACCCGACUCCAUGAAGCUGGAUUCGCUAGUAAUCGCGCAUCAGCCACGGCGCGGUGAAUACGUUCCCGGGCCUUGCACACACCGCCCGU
rnacentral:rRNA from 1 species